rnacentral:lncRNA from 1 species
UUGCCACUUUCUUGUGACCUUAGUCCAACUUACUGAAGCUUUGUGGAUAUGAAUUUCUCACCUGAAAGUUGGGGGCAAUCAUGAUACUGUCCAUACCUGACUCAGUUGUAUUGUGGAUCAAAGAGAGUAUUUACUGGAAAGUGCUCAGUACCCUGUGGUGUCUUCUACAGAACUUAAAAAAAUCUGCUUUGAGUCUCAGUCAGGUCCUCACCUGCCGUGAUAACCAUUAAUUUUUGUUACUUGCUUCCUAAUUUUAAAGAUUGCUUUUGCAUGCAUGUUUAUAUACUCUGCUUUCAAAUAUGUAUUGAAAGGAAGUGAAGCAUAAAUAAUAAAAAAUAGCUUCUCUCUGUAGCCUCUGCAGGAAAUAUUGGAAAAUGGUAAGCUAAGCUCAGAAAGGGCAGGGAAUAUGCCAUUUUUGUUCAGAAGUGGACCACGCUGUGCCAGCACAUAAUAGGUGUUGAGUUAAUACCUGUUGGAUGAAUGACUGGCCACAUUUCUUGAGUAAUGGAUUUUGCAUUUACACUAGCUGGAGGCAGGGAGUUAUGCUGAGAGCUAUCCACCUUUGUGUUUUUAAUGGGAGAAGAAGACUAGUUUUCUUAGGUGCAAAUAUGGCAAAAAGCAUAGAUUUAUAAGUGGAGGGAACAGCAUGAAAAUCAGGGACAUGGUCUUAGUAAGAAUCCCAUUUUAAAGGUAAGGCACUGCAGUCAAGGGUGUGGAGUAACACUGGCUGGACAGUUAGCAAGAGAAGCAAAGUAGGAAUCCAAACAUUUUGGGAUGGUGUUAAGUUCACUUAAUAAGAACCAGGCACUUUUCAUGAGUUAAAUGCUUUAUUGAAAAUUUAAUGCAAAUAAAAUGUUUUCUUGGUACUUGUGGCCUCUCAAAAU